AUUGAACGCUGGCGGCAUGCCUUACACAUGCAAGUCGAACGGCAGCACGGGAGCAAUCCUGGUGGCGAGUGGCGAACGGGUGAGUAAUAUAUCGGAACGUGCCCAGUCGUGGGGAUAACGUAGCGAAAGCUACGCUAAUACCGCAUACGAUCUAUGGAUGAAAGCGGGGGAUCGCAAGACCUCGCGCGAUUGGAGCGGCCGAUAUCAGAUUAGGUAGUUGGUGAGGUAAAGGCUCACCAAGCCGACGAUCUGUAGCUGGUCUGAGAGGACGACCAGCCACACUGGGACUGAGACACGGCCCAGACUCCUACGGGAGGCAGCAGUGGGGGAAUUUUUGGGACAAUGGGCGCAAGCCUGAUCCAGCCAUGCCGCGUGUGUGAAGAAGGUCUUCGGAUUGUAAAGCACUUUAAGUUGGGAGGAAGGGUAGUAACCUAAUACGUUGCUACUUUGACGUUACCGACAGAAUAAGCACCGGCUAACUUCGUG
rnacentral:rRNA from 1 species